rfam:Malassezia globosa CBS 7966 mgl_sf_12.1, whole genome shotgun sequence.
ACGGCGUUAGUUAAGGGGUAUAACGGCUGCCUUCCAUGGGAACAGCAGCAGUGGGGGGUUCGAGUCCCUCACGCCGUA